AGAGGUUGUUGGUUCGAGUGAUA
rnacentral:siRNA from 1 species